GAUGAACGCUGGCGGCGUGCCUAAUACAUGCAAGUCGAGCGAACGGACGAGAAGCUUGCUUCUCUGAUGUUAGCGGCGGACGGGUGAGUAACACGUGGAUAACCUACCUAUAAGACUGGGAUAACUUCGGGAAACCGGAGCUAAUACCGGAUAAUAUUUUGAACCGCAUGGUUCAAAAGUGAAAGACGGUCUUGCUGUCACUUAUAGAUGGAUCCGCGCUGCAUUAGCUAGUUGGUAAGGUAACGGCUUACCAAGGCAACGAUGCAUAGCCGACCUGAGAGGGUGAUCGGCCACACUGGAACUGAGACACGGUCCAGACUCCUACGGGAGGCAGCAGUAGGGAAUCUUCCGCAAUGGGCGAAAGCCUGACGGAGCAACGCCGCGUGAGUGAUGAAGGUCUUCGGAUCGUAAAACUCUGUUAUUAGGGAAGAACAUAUGUGUAAGUAACUGUGCACAUCUUGACGGUACCUAAUCAGAAAGCCACGGCUAACUACGUGCCAGCAGCCGCGGUAAUACGUAGGUGGCAAGCGUUAUCCGGAAUUAUUGGGCGUAAAGCGCGCGUAGGCGGUUUUUUAAGUCUGAUGUGAAAGCCCACGGCUCAACCGUGGAGGGUCAUUGGAAACUGGAAAACUUGAGUGCAGAAGAGGAAAGUGGAAUUCCAUGUGUAGCGGUGAAAUGCGCAGAGAUAUGGAGGAACUCCAGUGGCGAAGGCGACUUUCUGGUCUGUAACUGACGCUGAUGUGCGAAAGCGUGGGGAUCAAACAGGAUUAGAUACCCUGGUAGUCCACGCCGUAAACGAUGAGUGCUAAGUGUUAGGGGGUUUCCGCCCCUUAGUGCUGCAGCUAACGCAUUAAGCACUCCGCCUGGGGAGUACGACCGCAAGGUUGAAACUCAAAGGAAUUGACGGGGACCCGCACAAGCGGUGGAGCAUGUGGUUUAAUUCGAAGCAACGCGAAGAACCUUACCAAAUCUUGACAUCCUUUGACAACUCUAGAGAUAGAGCCUUCCCCUUCGGGGGACAAAGUGACAGGUGGUGCAUGGUUGUCGUCAGCUCGUGUCGUGAGAUGUUGGGUUAAGUCCCGCAACGAGCGCAACCCUUAAGCUUAGUUGCCAUCAUUAAGUUGGGCACUCUAAGUUGACUGCCGGUGACAAACCGGAGGAAGGUGGGGAUGACGUCAAAUCAUCAUGCCCCUUAUGAUUUGGGCUACACACGUGCUACAAUGGACAAUACAAAGGGCAGCGAAACCGCGAGGUCAAGCAAAUCCCAUAAAGUUGUUCUCAGUUCGGAUUGUAGUCUGCAACUCGACUACAUGAAGCUGGAAUCGCUAGUAAUCGUAGAUCAGCAUGCUACGGUGAAUACGUUCCCGGGUCU
rnacentral:rRNA from 1 species